GGGUUCCGGGAAGCCUCCGGUACCUCCCGCACCUCCGGGAGGCGGCGGCGCUGAGGAACGGCCCCGGCACGGCUGCGGGGGGAAGCCGCCGGGGCAGCGUUUCCCCCUGCCGGAAAGGGGCUGGGAAGGCCCGACUGAUUGACAGAUCGCCCAGCCAACGGCAAGAAGAGGCAGCACCUCUGUUCAGAACGCUGCCUCAAGAUUGGCCGGCUCGCCCGUCAAUCUCACGGCAAGCCGCGAGCCGAUUGGCGGCGAGGCGCGGCGGGGGCGGUGCCGCCCAGCAGCGGCAGCAACAGCCUGCGCUGUGGGGGCAGCGGCGCUGUCACAUCCGCCGGGGCCGGCCUCGGGGAUGCCUGAGGGGAGCGGGGCUGCGGGGUCGGGCAGCGCCCGGCUCCCCCCGGGGGACCUGGCCCCAGCCGGCGGAGGAGGUGCCGGGCACGGCUCCGCGUCGCCCUCAGGCCCGCCCGUGCCCCCUUCCCUGCUCUGGUGGAAGAAAUAAAAGCUCCCUGUAACCAGGA